rnacentral:rRNA from 1 species
UACGAAGGGGGCUAGCGUUGUUCGGAAUCACUGGGCGUAAAGGGUGCGUAGGCGGCGCGGAAAGUCAGGGGUGAAAUCCCGGAGCUCAACUCCGGAACUGCCUUUGAUACUCCCGCGCUUGAGAACUGGAGGGGACAUCGGAAUUCACGGUGGAGCAGUGAAAUGCGUGGAUAUCGUGAGGAACACUAGUGGCGAAGGCGGAUGUCUGGACAGUAUCUGACGCUGAGGCACGAAGGCCAGGGGAGCGAACGGG